rnacentral:rRNA from 1 species
GAUGAACGCUAGCGGGAGGCUUAACACAUGCAAGUCGAGGGGCAGCAUAGGGUAGCAAUACUCUGAUGGCGACCGGCAAACGGGUGAGUAACGCGUAUGCAACCUACCCUGUACAGGGGGAUAACCCGGAGAAAUUCGGACUAAUAUCCCGUAAUAAUAUCCGGAGGCAUCUUUGGAUAUUUAAAGUUCCGACGGUACGGGAUGGGCAUGCGUAACAUUAGCUGGUUGGUAAGGUAACGGCUUACCAAGGCUAUGAUGUUUAGGGGUCCUGAGAGGGUGGUCCCCCACACUGGUACUGAGACACGGACCAGACUCCUACGGGAGGCAGCAGUGAGGAAUAUUGGUCAAUGGGCGCAAGCCUGAACCAGCCAUCCCGCGUGCAGGAAGACGGCCCUAUGGGUUGUAAACUGCUUUUCCAGGGAGAGAAACUUACGCACGUGUUGCGUGACUGACGGUACCCUGGGAAUAAGCAUCGGCUAACUCCGUGC